UACGAAGGGGGCUAGCGUUGUUCGGAAUUACUGGGCGUAAAGCGCGUGUAGGCGGGUCUUUAAGUCAGGGGUGAAAUGCCAAGGCUCAACCUUGGAACUGCCUUUGAUACUGGAGAUCUUGAGUCCGGGAGAGGUGAGUGGAAUUGCGAGUGUAGAGGUGAAAUUCGUAGAUAUUCGCAGGAACACCAGUGGCGAAGGCGACACACUGGCUCACUACUGACGCUGAGGCGCGAAAGCGUGGGGAGCAAACAGGA
rnacentral:rRNA from 1 species